UACGGGGGGGGCAAGCGUUGUUCGGAAUUACUGGGCGUAAAGGGCUCGUAGGCGGCCAACUAAGUCGGACGUGAAAUCCCCAGGCUUAACUUGGGAACUGCGUCCGAUACUGGAUGGCUUGAAUCCGGGAGAGGGAUGCGGAAUUCCAGGUGUAGCGGUGAAAUGCGUAGAUAUCUGGAGGAACACCGGUGGCGAAGGCGGCAUCCUGGACCGGUAUUGACGCUGAGGCGCGAAAGCUAGGGGAUCAAACGGG
rnacentral:rRNA from 1 species